GUCGGGAUAGCUCAGUCGGUAGAGCANAGGACUGAA
rnacentral:tRNA from 1 species